rnacentral:rRNA from 1 species
CUAGGAAACUUAAUUCUUGUUUUAUUUUGGAGCAUCGAUGAAGAACGCAGCGAAAUGCGAUAAGUAAUGUGAAUUGCAGAAUUCAGUGAAUCAUCGAAUCUUUGAACGCACAUUGCGCCCGCCAGUAUUCUGGCGGGCAUGCCUGUCUGAGCGUCAUUU